UACGAAGGGGGCUAGCGUUGCUCGGAAUUACUGGGCGUAAAGGGCGCGUAGGCGGCCCUGUUAGUCAGGCGUGAAAGUCCUGGGCUCAACCUGGGAACUGCGCUUGAUACGGCAGAGCUAGAGGAUGGAAGAGGGUCGCGGAAUUCCCAGUGUAGAGGUGAAAUUCGUAGAUAUUGGGAAGAACACCGGUGGCGAAGGCGGCGACCUGGUCCAUUACUGACGCUGAGGCGCGACAGCGUGGGGAGCAAACAGG
rnacentral:rRNA from 1 species